rnacentral:misc_RNA from 1 species
AUAAUAGUUACUGCCAUAUUCGGGAUGCAGUCCUGAGCCGCCAUUGUCUUUUCCACCAUGUUCAAGCGCUGCUUUGUAAAAUGUUUCCACCGCGUCCCGCGAAGCUGCGGCAAACGCGACGUGAAAUCCUUCACCAGGCACAACCACUCCGCGUGACCUUAGCUUGAUGGCGAACUUGUCAUCACCACCCGGCAGACCGUAACCAACUGCCGUUUCGUCUGCCCACACACGUUCAUAACCCAGCACGGAAAGCGUGGCGUCGUAGAAAGCGGCGGAGCGAUCAAGAUCAACAACCGCGAAAGAAAGGUGAUGCAGCAUGUGUGGGAAGAGGAUUACACCAUGCACGGAC